CCUGGUUGAUUCUGCCAGUAGUCAUAUGCUUGUCUCAAAGAUUAAGCCAUGCAUGUCUAAGUAUAAGCAAAUUUAUACCGUGAAACUGCGAAUGGCUCAUUAAAUCAGUUAUCGUUUAUUUGAUAGUACCUUACUACUUGGAUAACCGUGGUAAUUCUAGAGCUAAUACAUGCUAAAAGCCCCGACUUCGGAAGGGGUGUAUUUAUUAGAUUAAAAACCAUGCCCUUCGGGGCUCUUUGGUGAUUCAUGAUAACUUAACGAAUCGCAUGGCCUUGUGCCGGCGAUGGUUCAUUCAAAUUUCUGCCCUAUCAACUUUCGAUGGUAGUAUAUGGGACUACCAUGGUUUCAACGGGUAACGGGGAAUUAGGGUUCUAUUCCGGAGAGGGAGCCUGAGAAACGGCUACCACAUCCAAGGAAGGCAGCAGGCGCGCAAAUUACCCAAUCCCGACACGGGGAGGUAGUGACAAUAAAUACUGAUGCAGGGCUCUUUUGGGUCUUGUAAUUGGAAUGAGUACAAUCUAAAUCCCUUAACGAGGAACAAUUGGAGGGCAAGUCUGGUGCCAGCAGCCGCGGUAAUACCAGCUCCAAUAGCGUAUAUUAAAGUUGUUGCAGUUAAAAAGCUCGUAGUUGAACCUUGGGCCUGGCUGGCCGGUCCGCCUCACCGCGUGCACUGGUCCGGCCGGGUCUUUCCUCCUGGGGAGCCGCAUGCCCUUCACUGGGUGUGUCGGGGAACCAGGACUUUUACUUUGAAAAAAUUAGAGUGUUCAAAGCAGGCCUAUGCUCGAAUACAUUAGCAUGGAAUAAUAGAAUAGGACGUGUGGUUCUAUUUUGUUGGUUUCUCGGACCGCCGUAAUGAUUAAUAGGGAUGGUCGGGGGCAUCAGUAUUCAAUUGUCAGAGGUGAAAUUCUUGGAUUUAUUGAAGACUAACUACUGCGAAAGCAUUUGCCAAGGAUGUUUUCAUUAAUCAGGGAACGAAAGUUAGGGGAUCGAAGACGAUCAGAUACCGUCGUAGUCUUAACCAUAAACUAUGCCGACUAGGGAUCGGGCGAUGUUAUUUUUUUUUGUACUCGCUCGGCACCUUASVBAGAAAUACAAAGUACUUUGGGUUUC
rnacentral:rRNA from 1 species